UAGGGAAUCUUCCACAAUGGACGCAAGUCUGAUGGAGCAACGGCCGCGUGAGUGAAGAAGGUUUUCGGACCGUAAAGCUCUGUUGUUGGUGAAGAAGGAUAGAGGUAGUAACUGGCCUUUAUUUGACGGUAAUCAACCAGAAAGUCACGGCUAACUACGUGCCAGCAGCCGCGGUAAUCGUAGGUGGCAAGCGUUGUCCGGAUUUAUUGGGCGUAAAGCGAGCGCAGGCGGAAGAAUAAGUCUGAUGUGAAAGCCCUCGGCUUAACCGAGGAAUUGCAUCGGAAACUGUUUUUCUUGAGUGCAGAAGAGGAGAGUAGAACUCCAUGUGUAGCGGUGGAAUGCGUAGAUAUAUGGAAGAAUACCAGUGGCGAAGGCGGCUCUCUGGUCUGCAACUGACGCUGAGGCUCGAAAGCAUGGGUAGCGAACAGGAUUAGAUACCCUGGUAGUCCAUGCCGUAAACGAUGAGUGCUAAGUGUUGGGAGGCUUCCGCCUCUCAGUGCUGCAGCUAACGCAUUAAGCACUCCGCCUGGGGGAGUACGACCGCAAG
rnacentral:rRNA from 1 species